GCUAUGGUUUGGAUUUGAAAUGCUCCUUAAAACCCACGUGUAAAGGCUGAGUGAUGGUCUUUUGAAGAAGUGAUUGGAUCCUGAGGGCUCUAACUUCAUCAAGUGGAUUAACCCGUUGACAGGAUCACAAUUUGAUGGCAUUAUUGAGAGGCAAUGGAAACAGAAGGCGAGGCCUCGUUGAAGGGAGUAGUUCAUGCGGUAUCACCUUGGAAACUGUAUCUGCUCCCCAGCCCCUUCUCUGGCUCUUUCCCAUUCUCUUUCCUUCUCAGUUGCUGUGCUAUGAGCAGCUCUCCUCUACCACACCCUUCCAUCAUGAUGUUUCUGCCUCGCCUCAGGCCUAAAACAAUGGAGCAGCUGACCAUGGACUGAACCUCUAAAACCGUAGCAGCCACCUCUGAGGCAGCAUGCUUGGGACCCCCGUGUCCAGUGUUGAAGGGGCAACUCUUGCUGGGGAUCAAGCCGAGGGCCUUGCAUGUGCUAGCUGCCCAGGUAGGGAGGCGUGUUCACGUGAUGAAGGGGUCCCCAGGAAAUAGCUGUGUGCGCGCGAAGAACGCCCGCCGGUGUGUCUUCUCCACGCUUUCUUCUUCCUUCUGGAGGGAGGAACCAAGAGGUGGAAGCGAGUGCAGAAAGCACUUGGAAGGGAAGCCCUGUGGGAAGCCCUGAAGGACAGACAGACUCAAGGACUGGAAUCUUCAUUUGCAGGUGUGCUAGCGUCCUCACAGUUAAGGACAUCACAGCGAAAUGUGGUGAUCUGAAGAAAUGUGUCUUUGAUAGUGUGUGAUAUGUGUCAAGAGGUGAAAGAUCUGGCUGACUUAGUGAACCAUUGUUUUAGAAAUAAUCAGAGACUGUUACGAACUUUGCAUGGAUAAUAGAUGUAUCCAAAGAGGAUUUUAACCUAACCUGAGAACCAAAAGUCCCUUCACAAGGUUUCAGAUUCCACACUGCAAUUCACCUGUUACAAGUUUCCAGUAGUCGAGAUCCGGUAUAGUGUGAAAGAUGGAUUUCACAACUCUGAAAUGUGUGUAAAACCAGAUUUUCUUCACUUACUUCAACUGAAACAGUGUAUCAGAGACAGGAGAAGCCAGACAUGGGAGAUUAUUUUCCAAAAUGUAAACUGAUGCCACUUUUCUAUUUUCUUUUUGUUUUGGAAAGUAAUUUUCGUCGAAGUGAGCUAUGGUAACAAAUGUUAAUUUUUAUUUAAAACAAAUUUUGUCAUUUUUAAAUCAUCUCUUCACUCAGUAAAG
rnacentral:lncRNA from 1 species